GAUGAAGAACGCAGCGAAAUGCGAUACUUGGUGUGAAUUGCAGAAUCCCGUGAACCAUCGAGUCUUUGAACGCAAGUUGCGCCCGAAGCCAUCAGGUUGAGGGCACGUCUGCCUGGGCGUCACAUAUCGUUGCCCAAUGCCUAUUGCAGUGCAAUAGGAAUUUCUAGGGCGAAUGAUGGCUUCCCGUGAGCGUUGUUGCCUCGCGGUUGGUUGAAAAUCGAGUCCUUGGUAGGGUGUGACAUGGUAGAUGGUGGUCGAGUUAGAACGAUUCCGAUCAUGUGCAUGCUCCCCAAAAUAUGGCCUCUAUGACACACACGCGUCUUUUGACGCUCAUGACGAGACCUCAGGUCAGGCGGGGCUACCCGCUGAAUUUAAGCAUAUCAAUAAGCGGAGGA
rnacentral:misc_RNA from 1 species